GACGAACGCUGGCGGCGUGCUUAACACAUGCAAGUCGAACGAUGAACCCGGAGCUUGCUCCGGUGGAUUAGUGGCGAACGGGUGAGUAACACGUGAGUAACCUGCCCUUGACUCUGGGAUAACUGCGGGAAACUGUAGCUAAUACCGGAUACGACCCUCGGCGGCAUCGCCAGGGGGUGGAAAGAAUUUCGGUCAAGGAUGGACUCGCGGCCUAUCAGCUAGUUGGUGAGGUAACGGCGCACCAAGGCGACGACGGGUAGCCGGCCUGCGAGGGUGACCGGCCACGCUGGGACUGAGACACGGCCCAGACUCCUACGGGAGGCAGCAGUGGGGAAUAUUGCACAAUGGGCGCAAGCCUGAUGCAGCAACGCCGCGUGAGGGAUGACGGCCUUCGGGUUGUAAACCUCUUUUAGUAGGGAAGAAGCGAAAGUGACGGUACCUGCAGAAAAAGCACCGGCUAACUACGUGCCAGCCGCCGCAGUAA
rnacentral:rRNA from 1 species